GCAAUUUGUAUGCAUUUGGCCGUGUGGUUUUUUUGGGAUUGGCCCACCCAAUGUGUGUUCACUUUUAAUUGGAACAACACAUGGUGUGGGCCAAGGCACCCUUGAAUAAGUCUUCCACUAGCACAAAAGAUGACCACAAGUCUUCAUUUGCAUUCAACACAUAGAUUUUUUUUUUUUUUGAAGACUCCACCAUUGGAGGCUCUCAGCCAACCUCCCCAAAAAUUCAAGUCCCUUUUCAAGCUCUCCCAAAAUUAAUUCCUUGGUGUAAACCCACUAUAUUGAGGUCCCUAAGUAGCGUGGAGGUGUCGUUGGGGCGAUCAACCCAUUAUUUUUCAUCUUUUGGAAACCCUAGCCCAUUGUGGAAAUUGAAGAGAAAAGAUCGUGGGCAGCCCGAAGCCUAGUUUGGACUUAGCUUGAGUUGGAUCAUAUUGGAGAGCGUUUGAGGUACAGACGCACAACCUGGGGAUCCACCUGUUUAGGAUACCCCCUUCUACUAUUCGGAGUGCUCCUCUCAUUCCGGAGCUUAUAUUUUUGGUAUAUAUAUUGUUAGUGCAUUUAUAUAUAUUCGUUCAUGGGUACGGCGGGGCCCUGUCCCGUCAUAUGAUUCUGUCGGUUUGUUUAGAGGUCUGUGGACAUGUUUGUGGGUUAGGGUCUUUCUGUACGGAUGCGUGUAUAUGUUGUGUUUGGGCGAUCUCAUUCGCCGCGGCGGCCGGUCCGCAUAUGUUUACAUGUUGCUUUAUUGGCCGGUGUGGCCUUUGUUGGUAUUUUUUGUGCGCAGGGUUAUUUUGGAUAGUCUGUAAAACAAAGGAAACUCUGCCGAAAUUUUUCUGGAAAUUAUCUAAAUUUGAAAUAUAGCCUUGAUGGCAUCUGCUAUAUACUUGAAUGCGUUUGAUAAAAAUUUGAGAUGGCAUUUGAUAGAUGUGUUUGGGUGCCCAUAUCGGGUACUAGUCACGGCCUACGGGGUUGGGUCGUGACAAAAGUUUUCUAGGAAUUUUUCGUUUUAUUAGUGAUUUAUAUGUCAGCAGAAAAUAUGGAGAACUUUAGUGUUUAACAUACAUCUUUAUUCUUGUCAAAGUUCUAUUUUUUUUAAUAUAUAUUUUGUAUAAUAUUAGAUUGAGAUAGUUUAAAUGAAGUGAUAUAUAUAAAAAGAAAUAAUAUAUCCAACCCCAACUUGCUCUGAACUGAAACAUGGUAAUUGUAAUUGUUGUGUUGUUGUGUGGAUGUACAUAUAUGUAUGUUGUCUGACAUGUAAAUAGCACACAAAUGUCUUCCGUAUUCCCUUGAGACUUUCUCACUAAUUGACGAUUUUUAUUUCUUUCCGUGUUAAUUGCU